AAUGUUGCUUUGUAAUCAUUUGGCCAAUCUGAACAUCAGAUUUUAUUGCUAGAUGAUUACAUCGAUUAGUUUUAAAAUUUAUUUUUAUACUAUCAGUUUAGGUUGAAACUAUGAGGUCAUACUCAAAAGAAAUUACUAUUUGAUCAAGUGGCUGAUCGAUAUGGAGACCUAAGUGAAUAAAACCCUAGAGUCCAAACUAGAUUGGACUCUUCCUAGCCG
rnacentral:lncRNA from 1 species